AUUGAACGCUGGCGGCAUGCCUUACACAUGCAAGUCGAACGGCAGCACGGGCUUCGGUCUGGUGGCGAGUGGCGAACGGGUGAGUAAAGUAUCGGAACGUACCUUUCAGUGGGGGAUAACGUAGCGAAAGUUACGCUAAUACCGCAUAUUCUGUGAGCAGGAAAGCAGGGGAUCGCAAGACCUUGCGCUGAUUGAGCGGCCGAUAUCAGAUUAGCUCGUUGGUGGGGUAAAGGCCUACCAAGGCGACGAUCUGUAGCGGGUCUGAGAGGAUGAUCAGCCAAACUGGAAAUGAGCCACGGUCCAGACUCCUACGGGAGGCAGCAGUGGGGAAUUUUGGACAAGGGGGGCACACCUGAUCCAGCCAUGCCGCGAGAGUGAAGAAGGCCUUCGGGUUGUAAAGCUCUUUCGGACGGAAAGAAAUCGCAUGGGCUAAUACCCUGUGUGGAUGACGGUACCGGAAUAAGAAGCACCGGCUAACUACGUGCCAGCAGCCGCCGUAAAAC
rnacentral:rRNA from 1 species